CUGUGAUGUCACAAAAGCACAUGGCAACUGAGUGGAUAUAAACAUGGUCCAAGGGGAAAGGCUUUCUCCCUUCCCUAACUGUUAAAUAGUGGGUACAUAACACUAACGGAUCACAGCAGGUAACAGCUGUGGCAUUCAGGACUCCUGGAUUUCACAUGGAAUUAACAGACAGAAUGAGGAGAUCAUCCAGCAGCAAGUUGCUAUGGAGUGCUAGAAAGCAAGUUUGCUUGCUGAGUGGGAUUGCAGCAUGGAGGGGGCCGAUACCCAUGGUUGGAAGCUGUCUGGAGCCUGGCGAUGGACUUAGUGGAAACUGGCAGAUGUUGGUGGGUGGAAGCUGGUGGAGUUCACAUUUGGAAGCUAGUGGGUGGCACAAGGCUGAAGCAGGUUGUUGCUUGCACAUGUAAGAGUGCUGGCAUUUACCUUCAGAAGCUGGCUGACAUGAACUGUGCAGAUAUUUGCGUAUUGAACUGAGAGUGGCUGACGAGCGAAUGUGUCUGUUGGCGUACUUCCUGGAAGUCAGCCAUUGUGUGUGUGUCUGUGUGUGUGACUGGGAGGUUUUGAAUGUGGUCAAAACAAAUGGUGUGCUCGGGUUCGUUCAGGGGGCGGUGGUGGUCACCCUGCAGACACAAGAUAAAUGGAUGAGCCUAUGGACGUUCAUGGGUAGAAGCCGGUGGAAGCAGGCAGGCUGAGGCUAGGUAUGAAGUUGCUAGUCAGAAGCCAAUGAAGAUGUCUGUUGGAUAGUAGCCAUCCCUCUCACUGUGCCUGUGUUUGCUUUCCAGGAUGCCUGAAAAUGGGAAGGCUUUUCUCGAGGCCACCUGUGGAAGUAAUGAAGAGAACCACAGGGCUUAAGCCAGCCAGCUUCUAUUUCUAAAGAAAUGUCUUUCUAAAUACACUGUUCAUUACACCUUCCCCAACCUCCCACAAGAGGAAUACUGGGAGGCUGUUCAGGUGCUUCUCCAGCUGUUGCCAUUGGCUCUGGACUGCCUGUGAUGUCACAACAGGACAUGGUGGCUGAGGAGAAAGAGACAUGGCAGCUGAGGGAGGGAGCAACCACAGGAGGAAGGGACUCAUGGGAAGCUGGGUCACAUGACCAUUUGACACAGAAAGGAAAUCUGGGUUGACUCCCUCCUGUCUACUUAGGUUGCCAAGACAUUAUACUCUUGGGGCUCCUGUAUCCUGUCAUUGGCUUCACCUACUGUUGGGUUCCUUGACUUCUGUUCCCAUUGGGCAUCAGCCACCACUGCUGGAAGGCCAUGUCUGGCCUGAAGUAGCCCCUGCCUGAUUUACAGUCAUUUAUGCGCCACUCUUCAGGUUACAAAUCUUUCUGAGGCAGCUUACAAAUAAUGUCAGAAACAUUUGAAAACUGCAGUAAUUGAUAUUGACAUGUGUAUACCAAUAUCAGGAUCCUUCCCACAGAGCAAUUGGUGAUAGGUGGCUCUGUGGGUGAAGAGGGUGGCGGUUAAGCUGGAGUAAACCCUGAGGUCUUCUUCAACCGCCUGCCUGCCUCCCUCCUUCCCUCUCUCCUGCAAUCCUUACAAGUUUUUGAGUAUUAGGAAACAUUUGGUACAGCUCAGCUGUGAGAGAAAAUAAUUGUCAGCUCUCAAGUAACUAAGCAGGUGGCACAUGAAGGGAACAGGUUGUGCACGUAUUCUUGUGUGUAUUAAGAGAGAGAGAGAGAGAGAGAGAGAGACUCUUUUCUAAAGGAAAGAAAACUGCACAGGUCCAAGAGUGAGAUCUAGAAGAAAAUUCUUGCUGUGCUAUGACUAUGCAGAAACCCCUAUGGUAAGAACAUGACAUUAAAAUUGCAGGUUCGUGCUAGCAUAGGCUACUAUAAGGCUAUACCCAGGAGCUCUUUACAAUGCAUUUCCCUGUCACUUUCCUACCUGCAAAAAGUUUUUUUAAAAAAACAAAACAAAACUGGGUUUAUUACACUAGGGUAACAGAGUGCUUUAAUUGCACAAAUGCCAGUUUCCCAAUACAUGCUUGAAUCCCUGCAAAAUAUUGACUGGCGAUGUCAGUAGUUUUUAUUAAUAGUUUUUAUUAAUAGAAUCAUGAAUUGUAGAGUUGGAAGGGACCCUGAGGGUCAUCUAGUCCAACCCCCUGCAAUGCUAGAAUACAGCUCAAGCAACAUACUACGUCUGCUGAAUACCUGAUCCUAAACAUGGUUGCUUAUUGAAAGUAAGUUCCACUGAUUCCACUGAGUUUAACUUUCAAGGAAGUGUAUAUAUGGUUUCAGCCACUGUAAUCCGCCAUUUGUUUAGUUAUAUCUCCAGUUAAUCCCAGUUCACCCCAUUACUGUAACCCUGUUUAAAAAUGACCGUCCCAAGUUCUAAAUGCAAUUUUCCAAGUGUUUGUGAUGUGUGUGCGGGACAGGCAGACCUGCUGGCUUUAAUCUGCCUGCCUCCCACAAAUAUGGGAUCUGCUAUUAAGUGCUUUGCUGAACUGUGAUAUUUCCAGCAAAGUGAUGGAUGCAGAACUGGGGGUGUAAAUUUCAGGAAAAGGUCCCUGUUUACAGAGGUGUUUGGGCUGCGCAAGAAUCUCUGGAUUCCUAGUGACUCAUUGAGACAAAAUAGCCUUGAGUGUAUUAUUCUGCUGAUGUUCUCCCUGG
rnacentral:lncRNA from 1 species